rnacentral:rRNA from 1 species
UACGUAGGAGGCAAGCGUUGUCCGGAAUUACUGGGCGUAAAGCGCGUGUAGGCGGCAUGGCAAGUCGGGUGUGAAAGCCCUCAGCUUAACUGAGGAAGUGCGCCCGAAACUGCCGUGCUUGAGUGCCGGAGAGGGUGGCGGAAUUCCCCAAGUAGAGGUGAAAUUCGUAGAUAUCGGGAGGAACACCGGUGGCGAAGGCGGCGAUCUGGGUCGAUACUGACGCUGAGGUGCGAAAGCGUGGGGAGCAAACAGG